UUUCGCAAUGCCCGAAAGGGUGACGAAGCGACGCCGCGUGAGUGAGGAAGGCCUUCGGGUUGUAAAGCUCUGUCAGGAGUUAAGAAAUAUAAGUGUGCUAAUACCACAUUUAUUUGACAAAAGCUCCAAAGGAAGCCACGGCUAACUCUGUGCCAGCAGCCGCGGUAAUACAGAGGUGGCAAGCGUUGUUCGGAAUUAUUGGGCGUAAAGAGCACGUAGGUGGGUUUGUAAGUCAGAUGUGAAAGCCUUCUGUUCAACGGAAGAACUGCAUCUGAAACUGCGAGUCUUGAGUGUAGGAGGGGAGAAUGGAACUUCUGGUGGAGCGGUGAAAUGCGUAGAUAUCAGAAGGAACGCCGGCGGCGAAAGCGAUUCUCUGGCCUAUUACUGACACUCAGUGUGCGAAAGCUAGGGGAGCAAACGGGAUUAGAUACCCCGGUAGUCCUAGCUGUAAACGAUGGGCACUAAGUAGAGGGGUUUUA
rnacentral:rRNA from 1 species